rnacentral:snRNA from 1 species
GAGAGUGAAAGAAUCUGGCUAUGAUAUCUGACACCCAAUUGACUUACUAAGUUUAAUUCCAUUUAUUUUACUGGUUCUGCAGCUAGCUCUUUUCUCCCUCAUUCUUUGCAUAAUUGCCUCUUAUGAAGCCAGGGGUUGAUCAAACAAGAUGACUUUCUUAUUUAGAAAAGGACCAUUCUUGAGUCAAGGGGAUAUAAAUACAGUAGUUGUACUAUUUUACCAUACCAUGCAUAUUAAUGCCAAUCAGUUAU